rnacentral:rRNA from 1 species
UUGGGAAAGCGAGCGGCGGAUGGGUGAGUAACACGUGGGGAACCUGCCCCUAAGUCUGGGAUACCAUUUGGAAACAGGUGCUAAUACCGGAUAAUAAAGCAGAUCGCAUGAUCAGCUUUUGAAAGGCGGCGUAAGCUGUCGCUAAGGGAUGGCCCCGCGGUGCAUUAGCUAGUUGGUAAGGUAACGGCUUACCAAGGCGACGAUGCAUAGCCGAGUUGAGAGACUGAUCGGCCACAUUGGGACUGAGACACGGCCCAAACUCCUACGGGAGGCAGCAGUAGGGAAUCUUCCACAAUGGACGCAAGUCUGAUGGAGCAACGCCGCGUGAGUGAAGAAGGUUUUCGGAUCGUAAAGCUCUGUUGUUGGUGAAGAAGGAUAGAGGUAGUAACUGGCCUUUAUUUGACGGUAAUCAACCAGAAAGUCACGGCUAACUACGUGCCAGCAGCCGCGGUAAUACGUAGGUGGCAAGCGUUGUCCGGAUUUAUUGGGCGUAAAGCGAGCGCAGGCGGAAAAAUAAGUCUAAUGUGAAAGCCCUCGGCUUAACCGAGGAACUGCAUCGGAAACUGUUUUUCUUGAGUGCAGAAGAGGAGAGUGGAACUCCAUGUGUAGCGGUGGAAUGCGUAGAU